rnacentral:rRNA from 1 species
AUUGAACGCUGGCGGCAUGCCUUACACAUGCAAGUCGAACGGUAACAGGUCUUCGGAUGCUGACGAGUGGCGAACGGGUGAGUAAUACAUCGGAACGUGCCCAGUAAUGGGGGAUAGCCCGGCGAAAGCCGGAUUAAUACCGCAUACGCCCUGAGGGGGAAAGUGGGGGACCGCAAGGCCUCACGUUAUUGGAUCUGCCGAUGGCUGAUUAUCUAGUUGAUAGGGUAAAGGACUACCAAGGCGACGAUGAGUAGCUGGUCUGAGAGGACGAUCAGCCACACUGGGACUGAGACACGGCCCAGACUCCUACGGGAGGCAGCAGUGGGGAAUUUUGGACAAUGGGGCAAACCCUGAUCCAGCAAUGCCGCGUGUGCGAAGAAGGCCUUCGGGUUGUAAAGCACUUUUGUCAGGGAAGAAAUCCUUUGGGCUAAUACCCUAGGGGGAUGACGGUACCUGAAGAAUAAGCACCGGCUAACUACGUGCCAGCAGCCGCCGUAAUAC